UUGUAGACCCCUCCUCAUAACAAGGCAAUGUAGGAGGUUCCCUUCCAUAAACCACCAUGAAAUGAGUUGUCUUAAGGGACUUGUGAUAGCAAGUGUUAUACCAAUGUUCAACCCAAUACAAUAAUAAGACUACACAAGCGGAUGAGAAGACACAAAACACCGUAAAUACGUCUACAAAUAACAAUUUAAGAUUUUAGUCUGGCCGUCUGUUUGUGUGUGAAAAGCAGUGUUGUACUUGAGAUGAGUACCAGACAAACAGAAUGUUUCCUUCCAAAAAACACUAAAACAGACUAUCCCGAUC
rnacentral:lncRNA from 1 species